rnacentral:rRNA from 1 species
CACUCCUGCGGGAGGCAGCAGUGGGGAAUUUUGGACAAUGGGCGAAAGCCUGAUCCAGCAAUGCCGCGUGAGUGAAGAAGGCCUUCGGGUUGUAAAGCUCUUUUGUCAGGGAAGAAACGGUGAGAGCUAAUAUCUCUUGCUAAUGACGGUACCUGAAGAAUAAGCACCGGCUAACUACGUGCCAGCAGCCGCGGUAAUACGUAGGGUGCAAGCGUUAAUCGGAAUUACUGGGCGUAAAGCGUGCGCAGGCGGUUUUGUAAGUCUGAUGUGAAAUCCCCGGGCUCAACCUGGGAAUUGCAUUGGAGACUGCAAGGCUAGAAUCUGGCAGAGGGGGGUAGAAUUCCACUUGUAGCAGUGAAAUGCGUAGAUAUGUGGAGGAACACCGAUGGCGAAGGCAGCCCCCUGGGUCAAGAUUGACGCUCAUGCACGAAAGCGUGGGGAGCAAACAGGAUUAGAUACCCCGGUAGUCCCAUGAU